UCGAGGGGUAUAGAUGGGUUUACUCGUCUAGAGACCGGCGCACGGGUGCGUAACACGUAUGCAACCUACCCUUUACUGGGGCAUAGCUCAGAGAAAUCUGAAUUAAUUCCCCAUAACAUUAUUAAGUGGCAUCACUUGAUAAUUAAAGCUGAGGCGGUAAAGGAUGGGCAUGCGUUGCAUUAGCUAGUUGGUGAGGUAACGGCUCACCAAGGCUACGAUGCAUAGGGGUUCUGAGAGGAUGAUCCCCCACACUGGUACUGAGACACGGACCAGACUCCUACGGGAGGCAGCAGUAGGGAAUAUUGGUCAAUGGACGCAAGUCUGAACCAGCCAUGCCGCGUGCAGGAAGACGGCCCUCUGGGUUGUAAACUGCUUUUAUAUGGGAAGAAACCCCUGGAUGCGUCCAGGGCUGACGGUACUUUAUGAAUAAGGAUCGGCUAACUUCGUGCCAGCAGCCGCGGUAAGACGAAGGAUCCAAGCGUUGUCCGGAUUUACUGGGUUUAAAGGGUGCGUAGGCGGACCGAUAAGUCAGUGGUGAAAGCCCAUAGCUCAACUAUGGAACUGCCAUUGAAACUGCCGGUCUUGAAUUCGAUUGAGGCAGAUGGAAUAUAACAUGUAGCGGUGAAAUGCUUAGAUAUGUUAUAGAACACCGAUUGCGAAGGCAGUCUGCUAAGUCGACAUUGACGCUGAGGCACGAAAGCGUG
rnacentral:rRNA from 1 species